UAGAUUUAGCAGAACUGAUUACAAACUAUAUAUAUAUGACUAAUAUCAGUCACUACUGAAGUCGUCGUCGAAGGUAACGCUCUCUGCUCCUGACAAAGUCUGUAGAUCGGGGUGUCCAAAGUCAGUCCUAGUGGCCUGGCAUCCUGCAUG